rnacentral:rRNA from 1 species
ACGGGUGCGUAACGCGUAUGCAACCUGCCUGACACAGGGGGAUAAUCCGAAGAAAUUUGGUCUAAUACCCCAUAAUACCGAUAUAGGCAUCUAUGUUGGUUGAAAGCUUUGGUGGUGUCAGAUGGGCAUGCGUUGUAUUAGCUAGUUGGUGAGGUAACGGCUCACCAAGGCGACGAUACAUAGCCGGCCUGAGAGGGCGGACGGCCACAUUGGGACUGAGACACGGCCCAAACUCCUACGGGAGGCAGCAUG